AGUGGGGUUAACUGGGUGAAAUGGUGCUCAUUCCAAGUUUUCCGAGAAAUCUCCAUACUGCUUUUUAGAGUGGUUGCACCAUUUUGCAGUCCCACCAGCAAC
rnacentral:pre_miRNA from 1 species